GAUGAACGCUGGCGGCGUGCUUAACACAUGCAAGUCGAACGAAGCAUUUUAACUUGAUUUCUUCGGAAUGAUUGUUACUUUGACUGAGUGGCGGACGGGUGAGUAACGCGUGGGUAACCUGCCUCAUACAGGGGGAUAACAGUUAGAAAUGACUGCUAAUACCGCAUAAGCGCACAGUACCGCAUGGUACUGUGUGAAAAACUCCGGUGGUAUGAGAUGGACCCGCGUCUGAUUAGCUAGUUGGUGGGGUAACGGCCUACCAAGGCGACGAUCAGUAGCCGACCUGAGAGGGUGACCGGCCACAUUGGGACUGAGACACGGCCCAAACUCCUACGGGAGGCAGCAGUGGGGAAUAUUGCACAAUGGGCGAAAGCCUGAUGCAGCGACGCCGCGUGAAUGAAGAAGUAUUUCGGUAUGUAAAGUUCUAUCAGCAGGGAAGAUGAUGACGGUACCUGACUAAGAAGCACCGGCUAAAUACGUGCCAGCCGCCGCGGUAAGAC
rnacentral:rRNA from 1 species